rnacentral:rRNA from 1 species
UAGAACAGGUGCUGCAUGGCUGUCGUCAGCUCGUGUCGUGAGAUGUUCGGUUAAGUCCGCUAACGAGCGCAACCCUCGCUGUGUGUUAUAUGUGUCACACGGGACUGCCGGUCUUAAGCCGGAGGAAGGUGGGGAUGAUGUCAAGUCAGCAUGGCCUUUAUAUCCUGGGCUACACACACGCUACAAUGGCCAACACAAUAGGUUGCUAAGCCGCGAGGUGGCGCCAAAUCCAUAAAGUUGGUCUCAGUUCAGAUUGUAGGCUGCAACCCGCCUGCAUGAAGAUGGAGUUGCUAGUAACCGCAGGUCAGCUAUACUGCGGUGAAUACGUUCCCGGGGCUU